rnacentral:rRNA from 1 species
AACGUAGGUGGCGAGCGUUAUCCGGAAUUACUGGGCGUAAAGCGUGUGCAGGCGGGCUAGCAAGUGGUGUAUGAAAGCUCCCGGCUCAACCGGGAAGGGUUAUGCCAGACUGCUAGUCUUGAGUGCGAGAGAGGAAUGUGGAAUUCCGGGUGUAGUGGUGAAAUGCGUAGAGAUCCGGAGGAACCCCAGAGGCGAAGGCGGUUACCUGGAGCUUUGCUGACGCUGAUGCGCGAAAGCGUGGGGAGCGAUCCGG